GAUGAACGCUAGCGGCAGGCUUAACACAUGCAAGUCGAGGGGUAACAUUGUAGCUUGCUACAGAUGACGACCGGCGCACGGGUGCGUAACGCGUAUAGAAUCUACCUUUUACAGGGGGAUAGCCUUUAGAAAUGAAGAUUAAUAUCCCAUAGUAUUGAGAAAUCGCAUGAUUACUUAAUUAAAGAUUUAUCGGUAAAAGAUGACUAUGCGUCCUAUUAGCUAGAUGGUAAGGUAACGGCUUACCAUGGCAAUGAUAGGUAGGGGUCCUGAGAGGGAGAUCCCCCACACUGGUACUGAGACACGGACCAG
rnacentral:rRNA from 1 species